rnacentral:lncRNA from 1 species
CAAAGAUAAGGUUUAUAUUUGAAGAUAUGUGAUUUAGAGUGUAUGCUCAGAUGCAAUUUGUUAUCAUAAGAAGGGACAAGGCAUCUUCAGAAUUCUAGGUGGCUUUUUUGUUUUGUUUUGUUAUUGUGUUGUGGUUUGUGUUUUUUUUUUUUUUCAGACAUUUUCAAGACGCAGGCUGUGUAAAGAGCAAUGUAGCCUGAGAAAGAAUUCCCACUAGAGGCCAUGGAAAUUCAGAAAAGUAGUGGGGACUACACGAAAAAUUUGUGUUAAAAAAUUGAAAUGAAACCGAGAUUUUGGGUUGCGAGAAGUAUGUGCAAUAUUCAAAGAGUUUUCAAAAUAGGAACUUGCAAAUGAACUCUGAAUGGCUCCUAAACACCAUGGACCUCUCUUCUGGUCUCCAUUAACCUUGAUGUAAAUCAGGAGAAACUUCACAGAAGUAAACACAGUCAUUCUGCUUUAGGUACCACUUGGGAUCCAAAUCUCACCCAGUCUGUAACUGUGGGUCGGCUAAGACACAAUAGCAUAAGCAAAAGAUGUGCAACUGAAUCACCUUUGUAUGCCUGUUGAAUAGUCAUGAACUGAUUAUCACUUUGUAGAAAUUAUUGAAUAUCAAAU